AUACUUUUCUCGGCCUCUUGGCGAAGAUUAAGUGUAGAAUUUGUUCUUAUUAGUUUAAUAUCUGAUAAAUGAGUCAUUGACUCAUAUGAUAUUAAAUUAAUUUUGUAGGGAGAGAGUUUAUAUUAGUAGCUUGCUAUUGAAACUCUCAAACAUUGCUUAUGUGUUACACUACAACAUGGGUGUCACGAUA
rnacentral:snRNA from 1 species